CUACCAGCUAUAGAAUUCUAUAAUCCAGAGAAGUUUUUAAUCUUCUCGUGGUCCCUCAGUUUCAUGAAGAUGUAGACCAGAGGUGGCAAUCCCUGAGCUGGAGUUCAGCUCAUUCUUCAUGGAGGCCCAUCUAAGCUGCUCUUUCCUUAGCCACCGGACAGGUGUGUUUGGAAACAGCUAGGCUCACAGGGAAGCGGGCCCUGUGAACUGGUAGGGAAACCUGAACAUACUUUGAACUCAGGGGUGAAACUUCUGGCCACUAGGAUUGCUGCCUUGGAGAACUACUUUCUGGUGACAGAUGUUUUAGUUUUUACUGGUGCCUACU
rnacentral:lncRNA from 1 species